rnacentral:rRNA from 1 species
GACGAACGCUGGCGGCGUGCUUAACACAUGCAAGUCGAACGGAAAGGCCCUGCUUUUGUGGGGUGCCCGAGUGGCGAACGGGUGAGUAACACGUGAGUAACCUGCCCUUGACUUUGGGAUGACUUCAGGAAACUGGGGCUAAUACCGGAUAGGAGCUCCUGCUGCAUGGUGGGGGUUGGAAAGUUUCGGCGGUUGGGGAUGGACUCGCGGCUUAUCAGCUUGUUGGUGGGGUAGUGGCUUACCAAGGCUUUGACGGGUAGCCGGCCUGAGAGGGUGACCGGCCACAUUGGGACUGAGAUACGGACCAGACUCCUACGGGAGGCAGCAGUGGGAAAUAUUGCACAAUGGGCGGAAGUGUGAUGCGGAAACGCCGCGUGCGGGAUGACGGCCUUCGGGUUGUAAACCGCUUUCGCCUGUGACGAAGCGUGAGUGACGGUAAUGGGUAAAGAAGCACCGGCUAACUACGUG